rnacentral:misc_RNA from 1 species
UCCGAGUUGACCCCGGCAGUCUCUCUAGAGUCCCCGACAUAACUCGCUGGCAACUAGAGACGGGGGUUGCGCUCGUUGCGGGACUUAACCCAACACCUCACGGCACGAGCUGACGACAGCCAUGCAACACCUAUCGCAGGCCCUUACGGACACCGCGUUUCCGCGGCUUUUCCUGCGUAGUUCAGCCCAGGUAAGGUUCUUCGCGUUGCGUCGAAUUAAACCACAUGCUCCGUUGCUUGUGCGGGUCCCCGUCAAUUCCUUUGAGUUUUAGCCUUGCGGCCGUACUCCCCAGGCGGGGCACUUAAUGCGUUAGCUGCGGCACGGGAGGAGUCGACACCUCCCACACCUAGUGCCCAUCGUUUACGGCGUGGACUAC